rnacentral:rRNA from 3 species
UACGUAUGGUGCAAGCGUUAUCCGGAUUUACUGGGUGUAAAGGGAGCGCAGGCGGUGCGGCAAGUCUGAUGUGAAAGCCCGGGGCUCAACCCCGGUACUGCAUUGGAAACUGUCGUACUAGAGUGUCGGAGGGGUAAGUGGAAUUCCUAGUGUAGCGGUGAAAUGCGUAGAUAUUAGGAGGAACACCAGUGGCGAAGGCGGCUUACUGGACGAUAACUGACGCUGAGGCUCGAAAGCGUGGGGAGCAAACAGG